AAAGUACUCCCUUCAUCCCAAAAUUCUUGUCUUAGAUUUCUCUAGAUAUAGAUGUAUCAAGUCACAUUUUAGUAUUAGAUACAUCCAUAUCUAGACAAAUCUAAGACAAGAAAUUUGGGAUAGAGGGAGUAGUUG
rnacentral:pre_miRNA from 1 species